rnacentral:lncRNA from 1 species
UCUCUCUAGAAACAGUGCACUGAUUUUACAGAUGUCCACAUUUGGUUUUCAGUUUACCAAGAUGAUGCCAGUAUAGCUAGUGAGAUGCAGCACGCCAUCUUCAGCCCCCUCGCCUCUGGAAGAGACACCAGACUGCAAAGGGCACCGCGUACAGAAGCUAACGGAACUUGAAUGACAAGACAAAAAGAGCAGAACCAGUUAGUGUGACACAACAUUCUAACAUGCCUGAUUCUUACAUCAAAUAUGGUAACUUGGGGGUUGGUGGGGGGAGACAAGGAGAAUCCACUUGGGAACAAUUUGAUGAAGUUUGCAAACCAGCACUUUACCCCCAAAUUAACAACAGCUUGUAUGGAAAAAAAAAUGCUCUUUUAAAAGUAUAUGGUUUGGACAGGUACAUUUGUUUUCUCUUGUAGUUUUUGUAAAAAAGUAUCAAAACCUUGGCUUUAAAUAUAUAUAUAUAUAUACACAAGUGGCUUUUUAAAAAUUACUUUUUUAUAGCACAAAGUGUUUGUAAAUGCAGAGGGUUUCUGCUAAUUCUUGACUGUGCACAUGGUGCAUAGCCUGAAUGAACAGAGCUUCCUGAUUUUUUUUUUAACUGAAAAAUUGAAGCAGUAAUUCUUUAACCUUCUAAAUUCUCCAUACCCUAAAAAUACAGUGUGAGAAGUCUGUUACUCUAUCUUCAUGCAUUUCGGGAAAAGGAAUUAUUUACUCUGAAACAUUUAAUGCUAACUCAUUUAUAUUUUGUGAAACGAUGAGUGUAUGGCUGGAGUUCGGGGGGUAGGGUGGAGAGGCUUGCAUUCCUGUGCCAUUUCCCCAUUCCCACCAGUGCCCAACUGGACAGUGGUUGGUAUCCCCUCUCCAGACUCAACGUCUUCAACAUUUUCGUUUUUCUUUCUCACAGUUGAGAAAAUCUAAGAGGCUCUCGACAACAUGGCAUGCUUCUGUGAAAAUCCCACUGCCCUUAUAUUAGUCUUCAUUGACCAUAUAAAAAAUCUUUGACUCAAAUAUAUGAAAAGCAGUCAGCAUUUCCCUUUGGCCACUGGAAAGCUUGAGGCUGAAUAAUGUCAGUUCUGCAAAGUGCUGGCAAUGCAUCCUAAUGAAUUUUCCAUGAUGCAUUUAGUGCCUUGUACACAAUGAUCAAGAAAUGCUUCAUUGAAUCAGAAAUUAAUCUAUUUUAUAAAGUGCUUACAUUGAAUCUCUUUCCAUACAGCCUCAUUUCUUGCCCCCCUUGAGCCUUUUGUUCCUGUUAGAAUGAACUGUGCAAUUCCUAAAGUCCCUGUGCUCUUUCAUACCUCUGUGUUAGCUCGAUGUGUCUCUGCCUGAAGCAGCUUGGAAUCCCCUUCUUAAUUUUUAAGACUUAAGGUCACUUCUAUGAUGACCCUAUUCCUCAUUUCUUAGGUGGAAAGACCCCUCUCUCCUUUGAGCCCUAAUAGUGCUCUGAAUAGAAUCAAUGCCUUUUUUGUUUCCACAUAUAUCAUCCUCCACUGCUACUGUGAACUCUGUAAAGUCAGAACAUGUGUGACUGACCUUUACAUCUGCAGUGCCAGGUGUGUAGUUGGUAUCUAGUGAGUGGUUUUAGUGAAUGAAUAUACUGCAGUCAUACUGAGAUAACUGGAGGGAUCAAUAGGACUUACUGCCAUACAUUUAAAUCCGAUCUCAUUCUCUUUUUGCCAGUUAACGGGUUACUUCAAUCUGUUUUAUAAAUAAUCUGUGUAUCAAGAGUAAAUAAGUACAGUUUCGUUUUCUCUGUUUCUAGAAGGCAUUUCAGCUAGUGCCUUUGUAAUUCCACUGGAGGAAAGGUAGACCAUAGUAUAGGUAGCAGGUUUGAUACAAUGUUCAGGCAGCCCAAGAUAGUCUUUCUGCAGAAGGAAAUGGAGGAAAAGCACUGGGACUGGCUUCUGAUAAAUUUUCUGCCCUCUUGGCAUUGUCUCUGAGCUUCCUUCCAGCUCUAUAGUCCAGUGACUCUAUGAUCUGUGAUUGGCUGUAGAUACCUAUGCACGGGGGCAAAAGGCAAAAGAUAUGUAACCUCAAAAUGAGGCUGAAAAGCCUCUAUGAAUGGGGGAAGGUGGAUCUGACUCCUCAGGUUUCAUCUUAUUUACUGCGGUCCAACACAUGAAUAUAUCAUAAUUUGUUUCUUGUAAAGGGUUUUUCCCAUUGCUGCCUCUUUCAAACUGCAGUUGUAGCAUAUGCAGGAAACAUGAAUGUCUCUGAGAAAAGUUGUGAAUUUCAUCGUCAUUUUGAGAUCUCAGGCUGUAUGUCCAGACCCCAUUCAUUAUUUUUUUCUGUGAAUGCCAGGAUCUGACUGAAAGUUUAGAAACUAUGCCUUAGCCCCUGUUAUCAUUUAAUUCCUUGGAAAAUUCAGUUUCUUUGGAAGGUUACAGAAAAAGUCACUUGUUUUGAGUACAUUUCCAUGUUUUUCACUGUCAUCAUUUUUCUUCAGUCAAAAAUAAUUUUACUUUCCGUUCUUAAAAGAAUAGUAAUAUGUGAGUAAGCUCCAUAGGAGUUGGCCACCUGUUCUUAAAAUUCUGUUUGGUAUUGAUCAUUCUAGGUCAACUGCAUUUACCCUCUCAAUGAAUGUUUCAGGACUAUCAACACAUGCAUGUCAUGAGGAGAUUGCUGGAUUAUGCAAAACACACUGCCCAAGCUCCAGAAUAUAGUUAUUUUCUUAGAGUUUAAGAGGCCAAGAGUGACACAGAGGAAGGUCCUAGGUACAGGAUGCUGGAACUCCAGAAUGUCUGACUGAAAAUUCAAAGGGUAUCAAGCUGGUGAGACAUCCAACUUCAUUGAGUUGGGGGCAUCUGGCAGGUAGGGAUGGGAAGGCAUUUGCUUAAGUGUGUCAAGUUCCAGGUAUGAUGAGAUUAGAUGCAGCUCCUCUGCUCCUACUUAAGUCAAACACUUCCAUGUUGCACCUUGUCCCUGGUUGUCUAGUGGGAGUAAGUGGCAGAACAGCAGAGUUAAGAAACUCAAACUCUUUCUCUUUGGAUGGGAAAGCCACUGGGGACUGAAUCCUUCUGGGACUAUAGGAUUAUGUUUCCAGUGGGAGACCCCACAAGUAGAAAAGAGCACUUCUCCCUUCCUCCCCCAAGGCCAGGAAAAGCAAAGAAGAUGUCUAUAAUGAAGAAUAUCUAUACAUAUACCCGGAGUUUUUCCUUUUAUUUACAAAGCAGUAAACCAAAUUCCUGUGUGAACAUAAAUAUCCAAUAUACUAUAAUAUUGCGUACGCCAUUUCCCCCCUCAAAUAUGACUUCAAUUUUGGCCAGUUGUUCUGACUUAAGCCAAAAAUUAGUUUCAUCUAUAUGAACAUAUGAUGGUAAGUAACCUAUUUAUUACCUUAAAAUGUUUCCCCACAUAAAGGAAAUGGUAGAGAGUAAGGGGAAAAGAGAAAUAAGAGAUGUGAUAAAACCUAUUCCACCAUCUUUAUCCUCAUCCACAGCAUGUCCUAGACGUUCAGUGCCUGGGCCAGUCUCUAUAGUAAACUUGGGCUGAUCUGGAAACGUCUCCACUUAGCUUUGUAAGGAUGGCACCCUUCAGGGUGCUUCAGAGGAAACUUACUGAAUUCAACCCAAGUGUCCUGAAAGAAAUUGAAGAAGUUACUCAAAGAGCUGAACUUUAAAACAAGGAGUAGCUGAGGGUGAGGCAUAUUCUAUCUUGAGUUUCUGAGCACUCUGGUACCAUGGAAUGUCUGUACACUGACCUUCGCCAAAGCCAAGAAAGCCCUGGUAGGAGUCACAGCGGCCAUGGGUGAGCUGAAAGGCUUUUCCUGACUUCCUGGGGUCUCAGGAAUAGCCAGAGGUGAAAAGAUUUGCCUUUUUUACUACAUAAUUGCACAAACCAUGGUAUCUAUUUUCUGAGCCAGAUUUCCAAAGGCUUUUCUGAAAACUACAAGAUAUACCCCUUGUGGACUGUGUGAAAAUAAAUUUAUCUUUAUGUAUUUGAACAGUAGCCAUAGAUGUGCCUCUUCUCUACAGAUUUUUCUGUCACACACAUACACAUAUAAACACACACAUACACACACAGAGUCUGUGUGGUGGGCCAAACAUGCCAAAAAUAAAUACUCUCACUUCUCUAAAUUAUUUAUAGAACUCAUCUGAUUUUUAAAAUAUGUUAAUAAAUAAUCUAAAUGGGGGAGGG